UAGCAAUCACCGGUCAUUUCAACAAAUUUUGCAAGACCAACAUCUACAAGCCAAUCUUGAAAAAGAAACCCUUGCUUUCUGAAUAAUUCCAGAUCCAAGUACUUGUGAUGGACCACCUGGAAGAGUUUUCUAUAACAUUCAAAUUUGUAUUGUGUUUCGUCAUCACUUAUCCACCCAUUUAGACUAGCAUUUCUUACAACCUAUGCAACCUUCUUUCCAC
rnacentral:lncRNA from 1 species